GUUUAAACCAGGACUAAACCAGGACUAAACCAGGACUAAACCAGGACUAAACCGGGUCUAAACCGGGACUAAACCGGGUCUAAACCGGGACUAAACCGGGACUAAACCAGGACUAAACCAGGACUAAACCAGGUCUAAACCAGGACUAAACCAGGACUAAACCAGGACUAAACCAGGACUAAACCAGGUCUAAACCAGGACUAAACCAGGACUAAACCAGGACUAAACCAGGACUAAACCAGGUCUAAACCAGGACUAAACCAGGACUAAACCAGGACUAAACCAGGACUAACCCAGGACUAAACCAGGACUAAACCAGGACUAAACCAGGACUAAACCAGGACUAAACC
ensembl:lncRNA